rnacentral:rRNA from 1 species
ACUCCUACGGGAGGCAGCAGUGGGAAUAUUGCACAAUGGGGAAAGCCAUCGAUGCAGCCAUGCCGCGCUGUGUGAAGAAGGCCAAUUCGGGUUGGUAAAGACACUUUUCAGUAGGGAGGAAGGUAGUGUAGUUAACACCUGCACUAUUUGACGUUACCUACAGAAGAAGCACCGGCUAACUCCGUGCCAGCAGCCGCGGUAAUACGGAGGGUGCGAGCGUUAAUCGGAAUUACUGGGCGUAAAGCGCAUGCAGGCGGCCUGUUAAGUCAGAUGUGAAAGCCCGGGGCUUAACCUCGGAAUUGCAUUUGAAACUGGCAGGCUAGAGUCUUGUAGAGGGGGUG